rnacentral:rRNA from 1 species
CAGAGGUCCCAAGCGUUGUUCGGAUUCACUGGGCGUAAAGGGUGCGUAGGUGGCUUGGUAAGUUUGAUCUGAAAUCUCCGGGCUUAACCCGGAAAUGGCAUUGAAUACUAUCGGGCUGGAGGUUUGGAGGGGGGACUGGAAUUCUCGGUGUAGCAGUGAAAUGCGUAGAUAUCGAGAGGAACACCAGUGGCGAGGGCGAGUCCCUGGACAACACCUGACACUGAGGCACGAAAGCUAGGGGAGCAAACAGGAUUAGAUACCCUGGUAGUCCUAGCUGUAAACGGUGCAUAUUUGCUGUAAAGGAAUCGACCCCUUUGUGGCGAAGCUAACGCGAUAAAUAUGCCGCCUGGGAAGUACGGUCGCAAGAUUA